AAAGAGAUAUUAAUUGAAGCUGCUAACUUUAAUUUGGGGAGUUAUUAUUCUCCGCUCUUUU
rnacentral:tRNA from 1 species